CCACCGAGGUGUGUUACACAUCAGUUUGCAAACCUGAAGUAGCAGGCUAAUUCCUGCCGGGGCUU
rnacentral:tRNA from 1 species